rnacentral:rRNA from 1 species
AUUGAACGCUGGCGGAAUGCUUUACACAUGCAAGUCGAACGGCAGCACGGGGGCAACCCUGGUGGCGAGUGGCGAACGGGUGAGUAAUACAUCGGAACGUGCCCAGUCGUGGGGGAUAACGUAGCGAAAGUUACGCUAAUACCGCAUACGAUCUACGGAUGAAAGCGGGGGAUCGCAAGACCUCGCGCGAUUGGAGCGGCCGAUGUCAGAUUAGGUUGUUGGUGAGGUAAAGGCUCACCAAGCCGACGAUCUGUAGCUGGUCUGAGAGGACGACCAGCCACACUGGGACUGAGACACGGCCCAGACUCCUACGGGAGGCAGCAGUGGGGAAUUUUGGACAAUGGACGAAAGUCUGAUCCAGCCAUUCCGCGUGCAGGACGAAGGCCUUCGGGUUGUAAACUGCUUUUGUACGGAACGAAAAAGCCUUGGCUAAUACCCAGGGUCCAUGACGGUACCGUAAGAAUAAGCACCGGCUAACUACGUGCCAGCAGCCGCGGUAAUACGUAGGGUGCGAGCGUUAAUCGGAAUUACUGGGCGUAAAGCGUGCGCAGGCGGUUUUGUAAGACAGAGGUGAAAUCCCCGGGCUCAACCUGGGAACUGCCUUUGUGACUGCAAGGCUAGAGUGCGGCAGAGGGGGAUGGAAUUCCGCGUGUAGCAGUGAAAUGCGUAGAUAUGCGGAGGAACACCGAUGGCGAAGGCA